CUAGCAUAUCAAUAAGCGGAGGAAAAGAAACCAACAGGGAUUGCCUUAGUAACGGCGAGUGAAGCGGCAACAGCUCAAAUUUGAAAUCUGGCCCUUGGGUCCGAAUUGUAAUUUGUAGAGGAUGAUUUUGGUGCGGUAUCUUCCGAGUUCCUUGGAACAGGACGCCUUAGAGGGUGAGAGCCCCGUACGGUUGAAUGCCUAGCCUCUGUAAAUCUCCUUCGACGAGUCGAGUAGUUUGGGAAUGCUGCUCUAAAUGGGAGGUAAAUUUCUUCUAAAGCUAAAUAUUGGCCAGAGACCGAUAGCGCACAAGUAGAGUGAUCGAAAGAUGAAAAGCACUUUGAAAAGAGGGUUAAAUAGCACGUGAAAUUGUUGAAAGGGAAGGAUUUGUGACCAGACUUUUUCUGGGCGGAUCAUCCGGGGUUCUCUCCGGUGCACUUCGCCCAGUAAAGGCCAGCAUCGGUUUUCGGCGUGGGAUAAAAGCAGUAGGAAUGUGGCUCUCUACGGGGAGUGUUAUAGCCUAUUGUAUAAUACCGCGCUGGGGACCGAGGUUCGCGCUUCUGCAAGGAUGCUGGCGUAAUGGUUAUCAAUCACCCGUCUUGAAACACGGACCAAGGAGUCGAACAUUUGUGCGAGUGUUUGGGUGUUAAACCCUCACGCGUAAUGAAAGUGAACGGAGGUGAGAGCCCUUACGGGUGCAUCAUCGACCGAUCCUGAAGUUUUCGGAUGGAUUUGAGUAAGAGCAUAACUGUUCGGACCCGAAAGAUGGUGAACUAUGCGUGGAUAGGGUGAAGCCAGAGGAAACUCUGGUGGAGGCUCGCAGCGGUUCUGACGUGCAAAUCGAUCGUCAAAUCUGCGCAUGGGGGGCGAAAGACUAAUCGAACCAUCUAGUAGCUGGUUACCGCCGAAG
rnacentral:rRNA from 1 species